rnacentral:rRNA from 1 species
CCCGCAUGGGAAUAUUUGUUAAAGAUUCAUCGCUGAUAGAUAGGCAUGCGUUCCAUUAGGCAGUUGGCGGGGUAACGGCCCACCAAACCGACGAUGGAUAGGGGUUCUGAGAGGAAGGUCCCCCACAUUGGUACUGAGACACGGACCAAACUCCUACGGGAGGCAGCAGUGAGGAAUAUUGGUCAAUGGCCGAGAGGCUGAACCAGCCAAGUCGCGUGAAGGAAGAAGGAUCUAUGGUUUGUAAACUUCUUUUAUAGGGGAAUAAAGUGGAGGACGUGUCCUUUUUUGUAUGUACCCUAUGAAUAAGCAUCGGCUAACUCCGUGCCAGCAGCCGCGGUAAUACGGAGGAUGCGAGCGUUAUCCGGAUUUAUUGGGUUUAAAGGGUGCGUAGGUGGUGAUUUAAGUCAGCGGUGAAAGUUUGUGGCUCAACCAUAAAAUUGCCGUUGAAACUGGGUUACUUGAGUGUGUUUGAGGUAGGCGGAAUGCGUGGUGUAGCGGUGAAUGCAUAGAUAUCACGCAGAACUCCGAUUGCGAAGGCAGCUUACUAA